UACGUAGGGUGCAAGCGUUGUCCGGAAUUAUUGGGCGUAAAGAGCUCGUAGGCGGUGUGUCGCGUCGGCCGUGAAAACUUGGGGCUUAACUCUGAGCGUGCGGUCGAUACGGGCAUCACUUGAGUUCGGCAGGGGAGACUGGAAUUCCUGGUGUAGCGGUGAAAUGCGCAGAUAUCAGGAGGAACACCGGUGGCGAAGGCGGGUCUCUGGGCCGAUACUGACGCUGAGGAGUGAAAGCAUGGGGAGCGAACAGG
rnacentral:rRNA from 1 species